GAAAAAAAAAACAACUCCCAUGCACCGCGUUCACGUCUUAAAGAAAUAAGAGGAAGCAUUUGAAUUAGAAGGAAACUAACGAAUGGGAGUAAAAUCAAAGGUUGUUUGCAAACCUGCUUGUGGAGCGGCGGAUCCCGCUGCCUCCAAAGGCGUCCGCUUGCCCGAGGUGACCGGACUCGGCCCGCGCUGACAUCCCGUCGUAGGGAAAGAGUGCCUCCAUCUGCCCUGAGAGAUCUAUAAGCACCCAGCCUGAGGAUGUCGUUGGUGAUGAGCUCCCACAAGUACCUGUGCUGUGGUCUGCUGCCGAUCCGGGGGUCCGACUGGA